rnacentral:rRNA from 1 species
AUUGAACGCUGGCGGCAGGCCUAACACAUUCAAGUCGAGCGGAUGAGGGGAGCUUGCUUCCUGAUUCAGCGGCGGACGGGUGAGUAAUGCCUAGGAAUCUGCCUGGUAGUGGGGGACAACGUUUCGAAAGGAACGCUAAUACCGCAUACGUCCUACGGGAGAAAGGGGGGGAUCUUCGGACCUCACGCUAUCAGAUGAGCCUAGGUCGGAUUAGCUAGUCGGUGAGGUAAAGGCUCACCAAGGCGACGAUCCGUAACUGGUCUGAGAGGAUGAUCAGUCACACUGGAACUGAGACACGGUCCAGACUCCUACGGGAGGCAGCAGUGGGGAAUAUUGGACAAUGGGCGAAAGCCUGAUCCAGCCAUGCCGCGUGUGUGAAGAAGGUCUUCGGAUUGUAAAGCACUUUAAGUUGGGAGGAAGGGCUGUAGGCUAAUAUCCUGCAGUUUUGACGUUACCGACAGAAUAAGCACCGGCUAACUUCGUGCCAGCCGCCGCCGUAA